CCUUCCGUGCCGCUUCACUCCCCGAGGAAAAGAUUUGGUGGCCAAGUCAGCGGAUCCAACCCGCGACCACCAGCGACCUACUGGCUGCGUCUUUGUCCAGCGUCCACACUGCGCUGGCAGAGACUGUCGGGUGCACCCUGAGGACGAGGCGUGGCUCAGGAUGUGUCGGGGAGCUGUCUUGCAUUUUUUUCUUGCUGUGCAUCUCGAAUUUUCUUUAGGGUGGGAAAGGACACCUCAAAAACACUGUUGACAUCACGGUUUCAGAAAAUUGCGCCAUGUUUGUUACCCUUUUCAUGCUGAAGACUCCAGACUGCUGCAGAAGAGGCAGAAUUCUGGAGAGAAAUCCUUGGGGGACCGAGGACGAGGGUUGGAGGGGGUUGUCUCACCCUUCCUGUUUUUAGGUGAGGGAAGUGAGCCACCUAGAGUCAGGCCCCAGGAAAUGUUUUCCCUGGCUCGAGGAGUCAAGGGAGUCAACAAAUUGUAAUCUAACUUAUUUUGGUUUGAAAAUUAACUGAGUCAUUGGUAGUCACCAUUGGACUCUAUGGAAUAUUAGCUUAUUAAAUAAACUCAUGACUUCAUACAUGAUUUUUAUCACAAAUGUGUUAAAUGAGUAUCAUAAUGUGUUUGAAUUUAUGUAUGACUUUGGCAAAAGCCGCAACUACUUUUGCACCAACCUAAUUAAUGAAUGUAAAGCAUUUUAAUGAGUCUGAUGUCUCUCAGUGUUGAUAUUAGAGACGUUGCACUUUGACAACCAUGCUAACUGUUACGACAAUAUCCAUUUUAGGCACAAAUAGCUGGGGUGCAGGGUGCAGAGCAGUGCUUUUCAGAAUGUCUGAAUAUUUAUACAUUAGAAAGCCUUUGAAGCUUGGUUUUAAAUUGUUUUUCAAAGAGUAUGUUUUUGGUUUUCUGGUAAGUGCCUCUGCAAAGGUUAGGAGUUUUGCAUUGCAAUAGUUUUCUUUUAUUAGCAGGGAUAGGCACUGUGCUUCCCAGCGCCACAAAAAAAAACUGCAGGAGAAGACUUUUUUAAAAAGUUUGUCUGAAUUGUUCUGUGUGUUGUUGCCCUCAUGACACCCCUGUCUGUAACCAUUUAUCACUGAGACGUUCUCUCAUCAGCAGACAAAGGAUAUAUUCCCUGCUUGAUAUGUAGGACUUCGGCUGCUUAGCCCUCAUGAAUGUUAAUGGGAAUACAACCUUCUUUCUGUCUAUAGGUUACUUUUCUUAUUUUAAUGUCAAUAGACAGCGGAAUUAAUGUGAGAGCCAAAGUGAUAGAUUUCAAGCACUUCUAUAGGACCGAUACCUGUAUCCUUCAUAUAAAUAACUUUCUCAAAGAUAUCUGCAUGC
rnacentral:lncRNA from 1 species